UGACCCUGAGGCACUCAUACCG
rnacentral:miRNA from 3 species